rnacentral:rRNA from 1 species
GACUUAGGUAAAUCCGGGUUGCUAUUAAGACUGAGACACGAGACGAGUCACUACGGUGAUGAAGUUGUUGAUGCCAUACUUCCAGGAAAAGCCUCUAAGCUUCAGAUUAUAUGGAAUCGUACCCCAAACCGACACAGGUGGUCAGGUAGAGAAUACUAAGGCGCUUGAGAGAACUCGGGUGAAGGAACUAGGCAAAAUCGUACCGUAACUUCGGGAGAAGGUACGCUCCUAUCUGUGAUGAGACUUGCUCUCUAAGCGGACGGGAGCCGCAGUGACCAGGUGGCUGGGACUGUUUAUUAAAAACACAGCACUGUGCAAAAUCGCAAGAUGACGUAUACGGUGUGACACCUGCCCGGUGCCGGAAGGUUAAUUGAUGGGGUUAUCCUUAGGGAGAAGCUCUUGAUCGAAGCCCCGGUAAACGGCGGCCGUAACUAUAACGGUCCUAAGGUAGCGAAAUUCCUUGUCGGGUAAGUUCCGACCUGCACGAAUGGUGUAACCAUGGCCACGCUGUCUCCACCCGAGACUCAGUGAAAUUGAAAUCGCAGUGAAGAUGCUGUGUACCCGCGGCUAGACGGAAAGACCCCGUGAACCUUUACUACAGCUUGGCACUGAACAUUGAACCUACAUGUGUAGGAUAGGUGGGAGACUUUGAAGCAGCGACGCUAGUUGUUGUGGAGUCAACCUUGAAAUACCACCCUUGUAGUUUUGAUGUUCUAACGUUGGCCCCUGAAUCGGGGUUACGGACAGUGCCUGGUGGGUAGUUUGACUGGGGCGGUCUCCUCCUAAAGAGUAACGGAGGAGCACGAAGGUUGGCUAAGUACGGUCGGACAUCGUACGGUUAGUGUAAUGGUAGAAGCCAGCUUAACUGCGAGACAGACACGUCGAGCAGGUACGAAAGUAGGUCAUAGUGAUCCGGUGGUUCUGAAUGGAAGGGCCAUCGCUCAACGGAUAAAAGGUACUCCGGGGAUAACAGGCUGAUACCGCCCAAGAGUUCAUAUCGACGGCGGUGUUUGGCACCUCGAUGUCGGCUCAUCACAUCCUGGGGCUGAAGUCGGUCCCAAGGGUAUGGCUGUUCGCCAUUUAAAGUGGUACGCGAGCUGGGUUUAGAACGUCGUGAGACAGUUCGGUCCCUAUCUGCCGUGGGCGUUUGAGAAUUGAGAGGGGUUGCUCCUAGUACGAGAGGACCGGAGUGAACGAACCGCUGGUGUUCGGGUUGUCAUGCCAAUGGCAUUGCCCGGUAGCUACGUUCGGAACUGAUAAGCGCUGAAAGCAUCUAAGCGCGAAGCAGGCCUCGAGAUGAGUUCUCACUAGACUUUUAAAGUCUCUGAAGGGCCGUUGAAGACUACAACGUUGAUAGGCAAGAUGUGGAAGUGGUGUGAGCCAUUAAGCUAACUUGUACUAAUUACCCGUGAGGCUUAACCAU